GACGAACGCUGGCGGCGUGCUUAACACAUGCAAGUCGAACGAAGUGGCGAACGGGUGAGUAACGCGUAAUCAACCUGCCCUUCAGAGGGGGACAACAGUGGGAAACGACUGCUAAUACCGCAUACUGAAGUAGGGGAUUGCGUCUGAUUAGCUAGUUGGAGGGGUAACGGCCCACCAAGGCGAUGAUCAGGAGCCGGGCUGGGAGGAGGGACGGCGACAAUGGGAAUGAGAAACGGCCCAGACGCCGAAGGGAGGGAGCAGUGGGGAAUCAUCCGAAAUGGACGAAAGUCGGACGAAGCAACGCCGCGUGAGUGAUGACGGCCUUCGGGGUGGAAAGCUCUGUUAAUCGGGACGCGGUACCGGAAUAGAAAGCCACGGCUAACUACGUGCCAGCAGCCGCGGUAAUUC
rnacentral:rRNA from 1 species